rnacentral:lncRNA from 1 species
AGUGAAUCCUCUGUGAUCAGUUAACUCUAUUUCUAAGCUCCUGGCUGAGCAAACCGAAAUGCAGCCUGAGUUCUGUUGCUUUCUUUUUUCCUCCUUCUCUUCCGCCUCCAUUCGCAAGGGGGGCGGGGUCAGAGUUUGGAAUUCCACGAAGGCCAUCAUUCGAGGUGCACACCUGUCACUGCCAUGUACAGCCCUCUCCCUGAGCCAGCCAGCUCCCAGAUCACACUGCUGCCAGAGAAGAAGGGCAGCAAAGCGGUGUUCUGACAGGGAGCUUGCCAACAGGUCAGAGAAUCGGGCUACUCUCUGUAUCGUACAUUUGUUAAAGAAUUCAGGUGAACCCAGUUCGAAGCUGGCCUGUCAACCCAGCGCCUUUCAGACACGGAUUACUCAGCUCUUUGCAAGAAGAGCACCUUUCCCAGCUAGGGGGAAAGCUAUCACGUACUGUCUAGUUCAUGGCGGCUCCAUUUGAGCAGAAGCAACCGUGCUCACCUUCUGACAUCACACGUUCCGUAGUGAAGUCCUCACCCCCAGUGGACAGGGGACCAGGCUGUGGGGUCAGAGCCCCCGUGAAGGACAGCAGACUUCUGGUAAAAGAGGCCCAGGAAGCUUGCUCACCCCUCCACCGUGUAGGACACGGAGAGAAGGUGCCUUCUUGGCACCAGGAAGUGGCCCCUUGAGGGCACGGCCUGUGCCCACACCUGAGUCCAGCCUUUGCCGUGUACUCCCGGCCCCCAGAGCUGUGAACAAUGGCUUUCUGUUGAAUAACAGCUACUCACCCUAAAGACAGAGGUGGUAUCUUCAUGAGGCAUAGAUUCUCCCCAGAGGUACAGACUGUCAUCUCAGAUCUCUGGCCCAGGCAUCCUCUGCUGCUUGGUGCUUCCCAGGGCAGCCCUGCUCUCCUGUGAGGGUCUGUAGGUGACAUUCUGCUCAUCCUCAGGGCUUCUACCUCACAGUCAUCACAGGCCAGCUGGCUGCUGUCUCUCUAGGGUCUCCUCAGCACUGGGCUGAGGGCUGAGGGCUCCAGAGCUCCUCUGUCAACCCCAAUAUCAGCCUCCGCCCUACCUGUGAAGGGAGAAACACUGGCCCUGCUUUAGGUGGCUCCUCAGGACAGCAGUUAGUACAUCUUACAUCAAAACUAUUGGAAACCUGAGCCUUCACCCUCCCUCGGGGCGGCGAGGAGAGAGACAGGGACUAGGAGGUGUGGGCUGGCAGUGGAGCUUCUCAGCCAUGACAUUCAUAGGUGCCUCCUGUCUCAGUGGGGAGAGUCAUGGGGAGCAUUCCUUCUUUUUAAGAAAAAUAACAUUUCAUGUAAAGCAGUAUUUCUAAAAAUUCUCCAUCUUUAUCCAGUGGCUUCCUGUGCUCCCC